rnacentral:rRNA from 1 species
AUGCACAUGAAGAUGGUCAAGACCCCAAGUCCAUGGAAGAAGAGAACCAAUGGAAGAAGGCUAGAACAACCUCCAGGCACCGGACAUCCGGCCAGGACCCCGGACAUCCGGCCCCUGGAGAUCUACAUGGCCAGGCCUCUACAGAAGAAGCUACAGGGACCGGACAUCCGGCGUCCAGCCCGGACAUCUGGCCCACCUCACCGGAAAUCCGGCCAAAAUCCCGGACAUCUGGCACCAGCGUCCAGGGAGCACAGAAGGUUGCCCCGUCAGCCCGGACAUCCGGCCAGCACCCCGUACAUCCGGCGCCUCCCGAAGCAACGGACAUCCGGCCCCUCCGAGCGGACAUCUGGCGUCGCCCAUCCAGAGAACAGAACGACCGUCUGCAUCAGCCCGGACAUCCGGCCCUUCAGCCAGGACUCCAGCCCCUCAUGA